rnacentral:misc_RNA from 1 species
CUAGACAAUUGUCAAUGGAUGACCUAGUAAAGUUUAUUCCUAUAAAAUGUCUUCAUUAUUUAUAAAAAGUUUCAUAACAAUUCUCAUUUAGUUCAGACAUAAAAUCCAGCAAUUCAGCUUUUCCCUAACAGGCUGAUGGAACCAUCUAAACAGUUUUUAAAAAUCUUGAAAGUUCUUAUGAGACUCCGGCUAUAUUCCAUUCCUAAUUGAUCUCUCCUGUCCUACCACAGUACCUUCAUUAGAUACUAGAGUUGUUACAUUUUUAAAAAUCUUUCUAAAAACAGCUAUACCUUUAAUGUUAAAUAAGCAGUUAACUCUCUUACGUAACCCCACUAAGCAUAGACUUAAGAAAGUUAUUCUGCUGUCUUCUUUUUCUAGUUUCAUGCUUCCACUCUUCUUCUUCUACACCUGAAUUGCUGCUCUCUUUUUCUGCCUUUCUUUUUUUUUUGAGCUAUUAGAUUGCUCAUUUUGGCGACCUUAGUUGUGUCUAGCAAAUUGUGACUGAACAAACCAAA